CUUUAGAACAAAAUAUUUUGCCAUUUUAUAAAAUAAAAUUAUCCAACAAUUUUUUUGCGCCCCUAAAAAUUUAGCGCCCGGGGCAACCGCCCCUCUGGCCCCCGCCACGCUACGCCACUGCCUUCAAUUAAUCUGAAGAAGGGUCUCGACCA